rnacentral:rRNA from 1 species
CACGUAGUUAGCCGUGGCUUUCUGGUUAGAUACCGUCAAGGGAUGAACGUUUUACUCUCAUCCUUGUUCUUCUCUAACAACAGAGUUUUACGAUCCGAAAACCUUCUUCACUCACGCGGCGUUGCUCGGUCAGACUUUCGUCCAUUGCCGAAGAUUCCCUACUGCUGCCUCCCGUAGGAGUCUGGGCCGUGUCUCAGUCCCAGUGUGGCCGAUCACCCUCUCAGGUCGGCUAUGCAUCGUUGCCUUGGUGAGCCGUUACCUCACCAACUAGCUAAUGCACCGCGGGUCCAUCCAUCAGUGACGCAAAAGCGCCUUUCAACUUUCUUCCAUGCGGAAAAUAGUGUUAUACGGUAUUAGCACCUGUUUCCAAGUGUUAUCCCCUUCUGAUGGGCAGGUUACCCACGUGUUACUCACCCGUUCGCCACUCUUUUCUUUCGGUGGAGCAAGCUCCGGUGAAGAAAAAGCGUUCGACUUGCAUGUAUUAGGCAACGCCGCCAGCGUGUCC